rnacentral:rRNA from 1 species
UACGUAGGGGGCAAGCGUUGUCCGGAUUUAUUGGGCGUAAAGAGCGUGUAGGCGGCUUUACAGGUCCGUUGUGAAAACUCGAGGCUCAACCUCGAGACGCCGGUGGAAACCGUAAAGCUAGAGUCCGGAAGAGGAGAGUGGAAUUCCUGGUGUAGCGGUGAAAUGCGCAGAUAUCAGGAAGAACACCCGUGGCGAAGGCGGCUCUCUGGAACGCAACUGACGCUGAGACGCGAAAGCGUGGGGAGCAAACAGG